rnacentral:rRNA from 1 species
GUGAGGAAUAUUGGUCAAUGGGCGUAAGCCUGAACCAGCCAUCCCGCGUGAAGGAAGAAGGCGCUAUGCGUUGUAAACUUCUUUUCCAGAGGAAUAAAAUUUCGUACGUGUACGGAACUGAAGGUACUUUGGGAAUAAGCAUCGGCUAACUCCGUGCCAGCAGCCGCGGUAAUACGGAGGAUGCGAGCGUUAUCCGGAUUCAUUGGGUUUAAAGGGUGCGUAGGCGGACCAAUAAGUCAGUGGUGAAAACCUGCAGCUUAACUGUAGACGUGCCAUUGAUACUGUUAGUCUUGAGUAUGGUCAAGGUAGGCGGAAUGUGUAAUGUAGCGGUGAAAUGCUUAGAUAUUACACAGAACACCAAUUGCGAAGGCAGCUUACUGGACCAUUACUGACGCUGAUGCACGAAAGCGUGGGGAGCGAACAGGAUUAGAAACCCUAGUAGUCC